GGGGAUACCUCAGUAACGGCGAGUGAAGCGGUAACAGCUCAAAUUUGAAAUCUGGCCCUUUCAGGGUCCGAGUUGUAAUUUGUAGAGGAUGUUUCGGGUGUGGCUCCGGUCUAAGUUCCUUGGAACAGGACGUCAUAGAGGGUGAGAAUCCCGUAUGUGACUGGUUGCCUAUGCCCAUGUGAAACUCCUUCGACGAGUCGAGUUGUUUGGGAAUGCAGCUCAAAAUGGGUGGUAAAUUUCAUCUAAAGCUAAAUAUUGGCCAGAGACCGAUAGCGCACAAGUAGAGUGAUCGAAAGAUGAAAAGCACUUUGGAAAGAGAGUUAAACAGUACGUGAAAUUGUUGAAAGGGAAGCGCUUGCAACCAGACUUGCACUUGGUCGAUCAUCCUCUGUUCUCAGUGGUGCACUCGAUCUCGUUCAGGCCAGCAUCGGUUUUGGUGGUUAGAUAAAGGCCUUAGGAAUGUAGCUUCCCUCGGGGAGUGUUAUAGCCUAGGGUGCAAUGUAGCCUACCGGGACCGAGGACCGCGCUUCGGCUAGGAUGCUGGCGUAAUGGUUGUAAGCGACCCGUCUUGAAACACGGACCAAGGAGUCUAACAUCUAUGCGAGUGUUUGGGUGUUAAACCCAUACGCGUAAUGAAAGUGAACGUAGGUGUGAACCCUUAAGGGUGCAACAUCGACCGAUCUUGAUGUCUUCGGAUGGAUUUGAGUAAGAGCAUAGCUGUUGGGACCCGAAAGAUGGUGAACUAUGCCUGAAUAGGGUGAAGCCAGAGGAAACUCUGGUGGAGGCUCGCAGCGGUUCUGACGUGCAAAUCGAUCGUCAAAUUUGGGUAUAGGGGCGAAAGACUAAUCGAACCAUCUAGUAGCUGGUCCUG
rnacentral:rRNA from 1 species